UUGUCGUUUCUUCUUAUCCUAUCCUCCUCUGCGGCUUUCAUAAAACUUAAUACGCCAUCUCUAUACUCUUUGUACUGACACCUCAAGCCAGUCGUGUACAUCCAACUUCGAUCCAUCACUGAACAAUGAACAAAAUAUUAGUUAACAUCUCAUAACAUAAGUACUACUAAAUUAAUAGGAAAUGUUUAGUACUCUUUUACUUACUUUUAUGAUUUUCCUGUUUUUGUUUGCAAAAAAAUUACAAAAAUUCGCCCCCUUAAACCUCCCACCAAAAUAGUGAAGAGUGGGAUAAACUACAGACAACGGACUGCUGGAGUAUAUAUAGUGUGCAAAGUAUAUCUCAAUCGGGCCAAAAAAAAAUGUCAUCUCUAACGGGCGCACACUAAUCUCUAACGGGCAUAAAUAGAAGCCCGACACCUAUAAGAGUCAUCGGUGACGGGCAUUAAGGCCAUCUCAAUCGGGCCUUCUUUGGAGCCCGUCACCGAUGACACUCAUCUAUGACGGGCUCAGUAUUUGGGGCCGAUUGAGAUAGUGGAGGUCAUCUCAAUCGGGCCUAACUUCGAGCCCGUCACAGAUGAGUGUCAUCGGUGACGGGCUAUAGGAAUAUGCAUCCCGACGAGUACAUAUACAAUGGCAAAAAUUUAGGCCCGAUUGAGAUGACUUCGUUCUGACGGCCCACGUUGUCCAGGCAUGUGAUGGGCCGUCACAGAUGAGAGGAUCUGUACUAGUGAUAUAACAAUAUGUGUUUCUAAUAAAUAGUUUUUUUUCAUUGUUUUAUUCAUGAUCCUACUUGCUUGAGAGAGAAAGGACAGUGGAAGGUCGAACUAGAGGGACAAUAUAGGCUCUUGUCAAUAAAUUCAAUAAACCCAUAAUUAAUUUUGAUAAUCCAUGCAUGUCAUAUGAUAUAUAUUCCAAAGGAAAUCUCGCUUUCUUUGGGAGAGUCCCUUGAAUCCAUGUGUCGACUUACUUCCAAAUUAGAUUUGUGACAUAGACCUCCAAACGACCACACAACGAAAUUAAUUUAAUAGGACCAAUUCAUGAUUAAUUCUCAUGUGCCCAAGCGUACCUGCUGCCAAUCAUUAAGUUGAAAUUCAUAAAUUUCUUCCUAGCUAGUGCUGUACAUGCAUAUAUGCACAUGUAGCGACAGUAACAUGCACGAUAAUAUGCUAUAUUUAGUUAGCACAGGAGUGUACUUUAUAUAAAUUUGUGCUUUGCUAAAAGUUGAUCAAGAUGACUAAUUAAUCACCAGUGUGAUGCACAUAUUCGUUCUAGACACAUGGUUAGGGUAGUUCAUUACGUACAGUUUAAAAAAUGUAUCUCCCUUAUUAUCAUGCACCACAUCUUAAGGCCUCGUAAGUAUAAACCAUAUUACAGGUGAUUAGUCAUUUCAAAUGGGUCGGCAUUCUUCAUGAACCGUUAUAGAUCGAUGAUUUGCAUCAUCUACAUGAUGGGUCUAUGUUCCAAAAUCAUUAUAUAGAUCGCUAGUACAAAAAUCAUUUUUCAAGACAGCCAAAACCGGUUUCUACAUGUAGCUAGACGGCCCGCCUGCACCUAGGUGUAUGUGAAAAUUAAUAUUGUUCCAUGCGGGCAGCCUAAUCACAUGAAAAACAGGAUUUUCGCAUGCGGUCACCUAUACCGACCGCGUGAAAAAAAAUAAUUUUGGUGGAAAAAAAUAAAAAUCCCAAAAAAACACCGAAACCCUAGCUUGUCAUCGUCGUCAGAACUGCCACUAACGUCGUCACCGCCAUUGCCACCGUCGUCAUGCCUGCUUGCUCCCGCCUCCUAAUCCCACCGCCGCUAUUCCUGAGGAUGGAGGCUGUCAAAUCUGCAUGCCGGUGUUGCUCCAGAGGGCAAUGACGGC
rnacentral:sRNA from 1 species